rnacentral:tRNA from 1 species
GUUUUAAUAGUUUAAAAUAAAACAAUGAUUUUGUAAAUCAAAAAUAGGAAACCCUUUAAAACU